rnacentral:lncRNA from 1 species
CCUAUUGGUUGGUGUCCCUCACACCAAGGUGGGCUGUCUGUCUUGGAUCCAAAAAUCAAGUGGGAGUAGCUGUAAUCAACUCCAAAAAUGGUGAAAUCAAACCAAAAUUAUCCAAAGUCACAAAGGAUGCUACAUAUUAGAACCCUUUUAAGGACAGAGGAAAAGAAGAUUUGCGGACAGAAGAUGAAGAGAUUAUAUAAUGGGUUUUCCUGUCCUAAGAUAAUCUUUGUGAUUGAGAAUGUUCAGAAUAAAGGACUGAAUGA